rnacentral:rRNA from 1 species
CCGGCCGCCAGCGGCGCUCGCAAAGUUCGGAUCCGCAAGGACCGGGCCAGCGGGACGUCCGCGUGGCUGUGGUGCACUUUCUCCGCGGUCGAGUGCUACGACCGGUUUCGAGGCGGUCAGAAGCCCGGCGGAAAGGUAGCGCCGCCCUUCGGGGUGUCGUGUUAUAGGCCGCCGCGGUGGACUCGCCGCGAGACCGAGGACGCUUGCCGCGCCGAGCGGUCCCGGGCCGUCUUGGGAGGUUCGACCUCGGCUGCACUGCUCCGCAGAGCACCGUAACCGCCGCCCUAGCACGGGUCCGGAGACCGCCGGCGCCUCGGGUCAGUAGCG